GUCGGAAUUGCUAGUAAUCGUGGAUCAGCAUGCCACGGUGAAUACGUUCCCGGGCCUUGUACACACCGCCCGUCAAACCAUGAGAGUUGGCAACACCCGAAGCCUGUAGCUUAACCGCAAGGAUGGCGCAGUCGAAGGUGGGGUCGAUGAUUAGGGUUAAGUCGUAACAAGGUACC
rnacentral:rRNA from 1 species